AGAAGAAGAGGAGGAAGAAGAUCGAAACGGUCGACUCGGAUCUACUCAAUCGCGCGUCGACGUUGGUGAUCGGUGCCGUUGUCGGAGCAUUGAUCGGAGCCGAGCAAAUCGAGGUUAUCUCGCGCGUCGAGAGAUGAUAACUCGCUCGAAACUCGUCGAGCAACUCAGAGACUACCAGGUCCGGUCUCAGCGCAGUUGCCCUGCCCUCGCUCUCUUCUCUCCCAAGCCCCACAUCACCACCCGGGCUGAUGUUGCUGUGGCUAUAUUUUGGGCUGUGGUGUUUGGCAUGCUUGUCGGACUGACAUAUCUGAUGUUUCGUUACAGUCAUUUCUGGCUGUCUUUUUUGACUGCAUGCCUUGGAAGCUUUCUACUUGUAUGCCUCCGAAAAUCUCGGCAUGAGCUGGCCAGGAAAAAAGAGACGAGAUUACCUCUGUCCCUGUGAGCAUAGAAUUCUUGAUGUGAGAACACUGAGACAAAGGGCUGGUCUUUGAAUAGGAAAAAGAGUGGAUCUGCAAGGUCCCAAAUGAAUUGGCUUAUUGGAAACAAGUCUUGUUCUUUGGAAGAUCUAUCUCGUGUUUGGUACCGCAUGGUUCCACUCUGCAAGAACUCUUAAUCAUUAUCUUGGAACUCCUCCUAGAUAAAUAUUUGACAUGAAGGUCAAGGAGUUUUGGUUGCUCACCAUCAACUUGAGCAAAUUGGCGAAUACGUCCUUGAAGCAUACAAUAAUUGCAGACCAGAGUUUUGCCUGCGCUGUGAGAUAGAUGGUACCAUUUCACGUAUCAUUCUUUGUAACCCAUAUUCAUCCCAAAGUUUUGAUGCAUUCUGAUAUUCUUUUAUACAUCAUGCUUCCUUUUCAUGUAAAUACCAUAUACAAGCAAAGUGACGGACAAGAUCCUGUUAAUCUUCUCUUAGUACUUUUAUGAAUUGUAAGUUAUAUCUCCUAGGACUUCAUGCAUGAGUCAUCUCUCAAUGAAGUUGGCGUAAAAUGCUCUUGCAUGUAUCUUACCCAUGGAAGGCCUGCUACUAAGAGGAACACAUAAAUUAAGACUAUCCUAUAUUACAAUUGACAUGUAAGUUGCCUAGGCUGCUUUAGUUAACAUGUAUGAUAUUAAACUUCACUGUA